rnacentral:rRNA from 1 species
GGGGGAGUAACGCAGCGAAAGCUGUGCUAAUACCGCAUACGAUCUACGGAUGAAAGCAGGGGAUCGCAAGACCUUGCGCGAAUGGAGCGGCCGAUGGCAGAUUAGGUAGUUGGUGAGGUAAAGGCUCACCAAGCCUUCGAUCUGUAGCUGGUCUGAGAGGACGACCAGCCACACUGGGACUGAGACACGGCCCAGACUCCUACGGGAGGCAGCAGGA